GAGACUAGGACGUUGAUAGGUCAGGUGUGUAAGCGUUGUGAGGCGUUGAGCUAACUGAUACUAAUGACUCGAGAGGCUUAACCAUACAACCCAGAUGGGUUUUG
rnacentral:rRNA from 1 species